UAUAUAUAUAUAUAUAUAUAUAUAUAGAAAUAUUAAAACUAUUUCUAAACUGUUUCUUAUUUGAUAUAAAUUACAUCAUCGUAAUCAUCCUUAUAAAUCCUCUAAGUAUAAAAUAUAACCCUUUUUUCUAUUGUUAUGUUUGAUAUUUCAGUUUCUAUGAUAGCUAUGAGUAUAGUGACGCUGGGACUUAGGGGCCGUUUGGUUGGAUGUAGUUGCAGAAACAGUGUAGUUGGAAAUAUAUGCAGUUGCAAAUGCUGCAGUUAUAACUACAUCUAGUCUGUUUGGUUUUACGCAGUUGCAACUGCUGGAGUUACAUUUCUUCUGUUUGGUAAUAUGAAGCUGAUAGUUGUAUUUAUGAAUUUUGUUACCUCUUCAGAUAGAGUGGUGAGGUUACCUUCACUAAAUAUAAAAUAAUUAUAUAAAUUUAUUAAUUAUUUAAAUUUACUAUUUAUAAAUAAAUAAGUAGAUAUAUAUAAUAUUUUUAUAUUUUUCAAUAAUUCUUCAACUUAUUAAUUGACACAUUUAAAAUUUUUAAUUUAUUUAAUUUUAAUAUGUAAAUCAAAUUUUAAAAAUUUAAGCGAUUCUCUCAUUUUUUUUUAUCAAUUUUAAUAAUUAUAAUUAAUUAAAACUUAUUAAAUUAACAUACACGAUCACAUUCUAUAAAAAUUUAGAAAAAAAAAACUAUAUUUAUAUUUUAAAUAAAAUAAAUUUAAAAAAAUUAAUUUUUUGCACAAAGCUUGUAUUGUCUAAAAAAUUUUAUUAGUAUGAGUUUAUUUAUAAGUAUUUUUAUUUACCUAUAUACAUAUAUUAUUUAUUUAUUUAGCUAUUUAUUUAUUUAUUAUUAUUAUUAAUUUGUGGGUGAUCCUAUCCCUCACCAACUGCUGCAGUUGGAACUACGACCAAUUUGGAUGUAGUUCCAACUGCAGCAUUUGGGCCUUCUUGUGCAGUUGAACUGCAGCAGUUGAACUCAACUACACUAAACCAAACAAAGAAAUUGUGGCUGCACGCAUUUGCAACUGCAUUGCGGUUGCAAAUGCGUACAACCAAACAGCCCCUUAGAGGGGAUGAGAAAAUAGAAUAAGCACAACUCGAUAAAUACUCGACUCGUCGUAGAAUCCACCACAUUGUAUUCGAACACACUCACCACUACUAUUCAGAAUCCACCAACACAAUAGUUGAGCAACACUCUUAUCUCACAGAAAAUCUACUUCAGAGAUAGGAAUGAGAAGAUAUCCUUCUUCUCAAAUAAAAGUAUAAAUUUCAACUCAAUUUGAUUUGUUUUUCAUUAUAAAAUUAUUAUAUAUUUUUAGCUUAGUUCAUUUCUAAAACAAAAAUAAAUAAAGCAAAUAAUAUAAUAACUUUCUCUCAAAAAAAUAUACAUUAAUAACUUUAAUUCAAUAUCCUUACAAUCAUAUUAUAACAU
rnacentral:lncRNA from 1 species